rnacentral:rRNA from 1 species
UACGAAGGGGGCUAGCGUUGCUCGGAAUCACUGGGCGUAAAGCGCACGUAGGCGGAUUGCUAAGUCAGGGGUGAAAUCCCGGAGCUCAACUCCAGAACUGCCUUUGAUACUGGCGAUCUCGAGUCCGGGAGAGGUGAGUGGAACUGCGAGUGUAGAGGUGAAAUUCGUAGAUAUUCGCAAGAACACCAGUGGCGAAGGCGGCUCACUGGCCCGGUACUGACGCUGAGGUGCGAAAGCGUGGGGAGCAAACAGG